UACGGAGGGAGCUAGCGUUGUUCGGAAUUACUGGGCGUAAAGCGCGCGUAGGCGGCUUAUCAAGUCAGGGGUGAAAUCCCGGGGCUCAACCCCGGACUGCCUCUGAAACUGGUAGACUAGAAUCCUGGAGAGGCGAGUGGAAUUCCGAGUGUAGAGGUGAAAUUCGUAGAUAUUCGGAAGAACACCAGUGGCGAAGGCGACUCGCUGGACAGGUAUUGACGCUGAGGUGCGAAAGCGUGGGGAGCAAACAGG
rnacentral:rRNA from 1 species